rnacentral:lncRNA from 1 species
ACACAGACCCCGAGGCCCGCCUGCCUUGGAACAAUGUGCCUGUCUUAUGGACAGGAGGUGGGUGGUGGCCUCACGAGUGGGCAAGUGUCCCUGACUGGGGAGUGCCGGCCUUGGGGAGUGGCUGUGGCCUGUUGAGGGCUGAGCUAAGGCAGAGGCACCAGCCUGGGGGGCCGAGGUCCCAGCCUCUGGGCUGCUUUAACCAGGGGUUGAUGUGAUGCUCCAUCCUCAGAGACAGAGCUCUUGGAUUGAGCACCAGGGACAGAAACAGGCAUGGCCCCUCCUCAUCACCCCUAGAGACCCCUGGGCAGAGGUGUGCCCCCAACUUUACACACACUGAGAUGGAGACCUGCGUCCUUCAGGCCCUCGCUCCAGGGAAACUAGAAGGCUCCCAGCUGACCCCUCCACUCCUCCUCUGCGACCAGCAGGCUGAAUAAAAUAAAAUAAUAAAAUAUAAAAUAAUAAAGCAAAAUAAAAUGUGAAAGGAGUUGACGUCCCAAAAUGCUUGUGGACAGAAGGAGGACUGAGGGAGGGAGAGGGGAAGGAGGAAAGGAAGAGAGAAGCUGGAGGGAGGGAGAUUCCUUGGCGCUGGGCGCUGGGGAAGGAAGUGACUCCUGCCUCAGCAGCCCCCCUUAGCCCUUGGCGAGUUGGAGGCCCCGAGCAUGAAGAGCGAGCGGGACUUUCCAACAACAAGGGCGGGUCAGGGAACCCAGGCCGCAGGACAGUAGGGCCAGGGGCAUGGAAGCCCAGUGUGGGAGCUCCUCCUCCUAGCACAUGGAAGCCCUGGAGGUCUCCAAACUGGGCAAUGGGACAGGGAGACUGGGCGGGGAAGGCUACCCCAUGUCCCUAAGGAGAAGAGGCUGGAAGCAGUGGACUGAGAACAGUGAGGCCAGGUUUCCAUGGGGCCCAGGCUCCCCGGUGCUAACAUCCACCCCAAUGAAGUCUCCACCAGCGGAGCUGCCCUGCCCUCACCCUGCUCACCAGAGGGGAACCCUGGAACCUCUCGGGGUUCUCCCAGCAGGAGGGAGGGCGACUGCUCCCCACCUCGCCCCCGGGGAAGAGCUGUCGCCAUGGAAACCUCCCUGUUGUCUGAAUGAAUUUCAGAACAGGGAAU